CCUACGGGAGGCAGCAGUGGGGAAUAUUGCGCAAUGGGCGAAAGCCUGACGCAGCGACGCCGCGUGAGGGAUGAAGGUCUUCGGAUCGUAAACCUCUGUCAGCAGGGAAGAACGGUCACUGUGCUAAUCAGCAGUGAAUUGACGGUACCUGCAAAGGAAGCACCGGCUAACUCCGUGCCAGCAGCCGCGGUAAUACGGAGGGUGCGAGCGUUAAUCGGAAUUACUGGGCGUAAAGCGCUCGUAGGCGGUAUGUCAAGUCAAGGGUGAAAUCCCCGCGCUCAACGUGGGAACUGCCUUUGAAACUGACAAACUGGAGUGUGUGAGAGGAUAGUGGAAUUCCAGGUGUAGGAGUGAAAGCCGUAGAUAUCUGGAGGAACAUCAGUGGCGAAGGCGACUAUCUGGCACAUAACUGACGCUGAGGAGCGAAAGCGUGGGUAGCAAACAGGAUUAGAUACCCCAGUAGUC
rnacentral:rRNA from 1 species